rnacentral:rRNA from 1 species
UACAGAGGUGGCAAGCGUUGUUCGGAAUUACUGGGCGUAAAGGGCUCGUAGGUGGCCAACUAAGUCAGACGUGAAAUCCCUCGGCUUAACCGGGGAACUGCGUCUGAUACUGGAUGGCUUGAGUUUGGGAGAGGGACGCGGAAUUCCAGGUGUAGCGGUGAAAUGCGUAGAUAUCUGGAGGAACACCGGUGGCGAAGGCGGCAUCCUGGACCAUUACUGACACUGAAAAGCGAAAGCCAGGGGAGCAAACGGG